rnacentral:tRNA from 1 species
GGGCGCAUAGCUCAGAUGGUUAGAGCGCAGUCCUGAUAAGACUGAGGUCUCAGGUUCGACUCCUGAUGCGCCCA